rnacentral:rRNA from 1 species
AGAGGCUCUGGGUCACCUCCCACCCGUGUCUAUCGUACCUUGUUGCUUCGGCGGGCCCGCCGUUUCGACGGCCGCCGGGGAGGCCUUGCGCCCCCGGGCCCGCGCCCGCCGAAGACCCCAACAUGAACGCUGUUCUGAAAGUAUGCAGUCUGAGUUGAUUAUCGUAAUCAGUUAAAACUUUCAACAACGGAUCUCUUGGUUCCGGCAUCGAUGAAGAACGCAGCGAAAUGCGAUAAGUAAUGUGAAUUGCAGAAUUCAGUGAAUCAUCGAGUCUUUGAACGCACAUUGCGCCCCCUGGUAUUCCGGGGGGCAUGCCUGUCCGAGCGUCAUUGCUGCCCUCAAGCACGGCUUGUGUGUUGGGCCCCCGUCCCCCUCUCCCGGGGGACGGGCCCGAAAGGCAGCGGCGGCACCGCGUCCGGUCCUCGAGCGUAUGGGGCUUUGUCACCUGCUCUGUAGGCCCGGCCGGCGCCAGCCGACACCCAACUUUAUUUUUCUAAGGUUGACCUCGGAUCAGGUAGGGAUACCCGCUGAACUUAAGCAUAUCAAAAGGCCGGAGGAA